CUUGGUCAUUUAGAGGAAGUAAAAGUCGUAACAAGGUCUCCGUAGGUGAACCUGCGGAGGGAUCAUUAGCGAACGGCCCCCUGGGCCUUCAAGCCCCACGACCCGUGGAAGCUAGCCUGUGUUUUGGCGCCCUUGUCCGGCGCCGCCCCCAUGCGUUAGGCCCGUCUGUGUCUGAAUCGAACCUAGGAUUAAAACUUUCAACAAAGGAUCUCUUGGCUCUUGCAUCGAUGAAGAACGUAGCGAAGCGCGAAAUGUAGUGUGAAUCGCAGAACAUUGUGAAUCAUCGAAUCUUUGAACGCACAUUGCGCCUCCCUCAGGAGGCAUGCCUGUCUGAGCGUCAUUUAAACCGAAUGGGCCCGAUCGGGUUCAGUGUUGGGCCUCGCCCCAGUGAGGGCGUCGCCUCAAAGCCAUCGGUCUUGGGAGCGGGCGGGUUCCUCUAGGACGGGACCGCUCCUUGGCCCUCGACGACAUCUGAAUUGACCUCAGAUCAGGUAGGGACACCGCCUGAACUUAAGCAUAUCAAUAAGCGGAGGA
rnacentral:rRNA from 1 species